rnacentral:rRNA from 1 species
GACUUCUGGUUUAAUGUGCCUGGCCCGCGGUCGCAAGACCUGUGAGUGCCGGUGCGCGUUUACCAUCCUUCCAGGUGUUUAAAGCAGGCUUAUGCCAUGAAUACAUUAGCAUGGAAUAAUAAUCUAGGACUUCGGUUCUAUUUUGUUGGUUUCUAUAACUGAAGUAAUGAUUGAUAGGGACAGUUGGGGGUGCUAGUAUUGGCCGGUCAGAGGUGAAAUUCUUGGAUUCGGUCAAGACUAACUUAUGCGAAAGCUUU